rnacentral:rRNA from 1 species
AACGAACGCUGGCGGCAUGCCUAACACAUGCAAGUCGAACGAGACCUUCGGGUCUAGUGGCGCACGGGUGCGUAACGCGUGGGAAUCUGCCCUUGGGUUCGGAAUAACAGUUAGAAAUGACUGCUAAUACCGGAUGAUGUCUUCGGACCAAAGAUUUAUCGCCCAGGGAUGAGCCCGCGUAGGAUUAGCUAGUUGGUGAGGUAAAGGCUCACCAAGGCGACGAUCCUUAGCUGGUCUGAGAGGAUGAUCAGCCACACUGGGACUGAGACACGGCCCAGACUCCUACGGGAGGCAGCAGUGGGGAAUAUUGGACAAUGGGCGAAAGCCUGAUCCAGCAAUGCCGCGUGAGUGAUGAAGGCCUUGGGGUUGUAAAGCUCUUUUACCGGGGAUGAUAAUGACAGUACCGGGAGAAUAAGCCCCGGCUAACUCCGUGCCAGCCGCCGCGGUAA